GUGUGAAAGCCCUCGGCUCAACCGAGGAAUUGCAGUCGAUACUGUUGUGACUUGAGUCCGGUAGAGGAGAAUGGAAUUCCCGGUGUAGCGGUGGAAUGCGCAGAUAUCGGGAGGAACACCAGUAGCGAAGGCGGUUCUCUGGGCCGGCACUGACGCUGAGGAGCGAAAGCGUGGGGAGCAAACAG
rnacentral:rRNA from 1 species